rnacentral:lncRNA from 1 species
UAGAACAGUGCUUGACACAUAGUAAGCACUUAAAAAAUGCCAUGCUUAGAACAGUGCCUGGCACAUAGUAAGCACUUAACAAAUGUCAUGCUUAGAACAGUGCUUGGCACAUAGUAAGCGCUUAACAAAUGCCAUCCUUAGAACAGUGUUUGGCACCUAGUAAAUGCUUAACAAAUGGAUAUCUGUUGCCGAAUUGUACAUUCCAAACACUUAGUACAGUGCUCUGCACAUAGUAAGCGCUCAAUAAACACUAUUGAAUGAAUGAAUCCUUAGAACAGUGCUUGGCAACAUAGUAAGCGCUUAACAAAUGCUAUCAUUAUGAUGAUGAUAAUGAUGAUGAUGAUGAUGAUGAAGGCGGGGAGGGUGCGACCCCAGAUGGGGGCCGCAGAGGCCGGGCCUGGAGUGAGUGCAGGCCUUGGCGGGUGAGUCAGAGCUGAGCAGGAACCGCUGUGAAUCCACAGGAAGCAACCUGUUCCUGACAAGCCAGGGCAGUGAUUUCCCGGGGAACUCCACCCUCACCCCAUCUUAGGGCAGAAAAGGGGGGGCUCUGCCCCGAUGGGACCAACUGCGGAGCAUGAUCGUAUUUACCCAGCCUCCACAUAUUAACCACAUUUUUAAUUAGAAAAGACUGCCCCGUUGUCAGUGAUCACAUUUCAAAGCCUUCCAAGAACCCUGGUCUAAGUGGUGAGGCACAAGUCACGUUCUCCUGAUACCGAGGACAACAGGGCCUGCUCAACUCCUGCUCGUUGUUGUCCAAUCCCGAGACCCCAGUCCCAGGAGGCCAAACCAAGGAGUCUGCCUUGCACCAUGGAACCCUUGGGUAUUCAUUAAGAACACCAGAGCUAAAUCACAGCAUGGGCCCUUUGCAGAGUCCAACAGACUGCAGAAAGGAAACAGAUCAUAUGACAUACAGGUGAGCCCGUUGUUGUGUAGGAAUUGUCUCUGUUGUCGAAAUGUACUUUCCAAGCGCUUAGUAUGAUGCUCUGCACACAGUAAGUGCUCAAUAUAUACAGCUGAAUGAGUGAAUGAGAUAUUUUCUAAAAAUGAGGAAGGUAGCUUCGCUCUUCUACUUUAUCUCCUUCUCCAA